rnacentral:lncRNA from 1 species
UUGUCCAGAUUAAGAACGUUGAAGCAGGGCAAUGUGCAAGAGUCGGUAUGCGUUGUUCACGGGCAUUGCCGAAUCCAUGCGGCGACAUCGUAACGUGUCGUUGUGUCCAUUUGCAUUUAGUUGGAAGUACCUGCAUUGACUAUACGGGUGAUGGCCUCUAACUCUAAUGAAAAAGACUACUUGAAGAUGGCUUUGGAAAUUGCCACUUAAGAAUCAUGCAUCUUUAUGGCACAGUUUUACUCUCAUCUUUAUACUAAUUUGCAGCAAAAGGGAUUGGUACCAGUUUGAGUCAUUAUGUGAUGAAAGUUUCAUUAUGUGAUGAAACACAACAAAUUUCAUAAGGAAAAACUUUAAAAGCACUGUUAUAGUUACUGUGUGCUCUACUCUCUGUGCCUAAUAUUAUACUUGCGUUACAACUAAUGUUUAAUUUGACAUCUUCAUAGCAAUCACAUACAUAAUUCGAAAAGAGGUGUGUAAUUUGAACAAUAAAUUGAGUGACAACUUUUGUGACAACUACUAAUUUACAAAGGAAAGUAGAUAGUGACACGGAAACCAAAAUAAUAGAGAGAGAAAGUAAAAAAUAAUGUGAGUAUGAGAGAUAAAGUUGUCACAUAGGUUGUCACAAAAUGGUUGUCAAAAUAUCAUUUCU